ACGCCCUAAAAAAUAUAUGGGGAUAAAAAAUGGGAGCCUCUGAUUUAGUCUUGCGGUUGCACCACACCAAGCCGGACAAGAAACAAACACUUCUCCAUCUUCAGUGAGACAGGAAGCUGGUAUGAAAGACGCCGUUUUAGUAUGGCUAAAAAGACACGGCAAUGCCAGCCAAGUAAAAUACUUAGCGGAACUCGGGUGUGGACAGGAGAAUGUAGGCUUGCACACGGGAGGUGGUGGAGUGAGCCUUCCACCUUGGGGAGCAGAGCCACGUUCCCGGGUUACUGAGCUGAGCUGGGCGGUUACUCAGCCUACAAACACAGGUUUCCCAGCACUUGAACUUGAGACUCCUGAAACCGACAAGGUGGUUCAGAAUUCCUUGGAGGAGCUGGGGAGAUGGUAUCAUCUCUGUCACUUGUGGGACUAAAGACCAUUUCAUUUUGCCCAGCAAUAGCCUAGAAUCUGGCACCUGUAGGACUAAAGACCGGGAAUAGCCUGGAAGAAGUGGGUGGGGAGCGCCAGGCAGGGCAGACCAGAUCGCAAAGGAAAAAACCCUGGCGUGCAAGCACCGAUAGGAGAGGAAAUGUUUGCUCAGCUGUAAAGGAGGGAGAGAAAAGGGAGAAAGCACAGGCGGCGUGGCAGGUCUUGUUUCAGUGAGAAUGUAAAGUACGUGAGCUAUGUGCUUUGUGAUGAAGUCGUUGAUUUAUUUCACUUUGGAACAAGCACACCACAACAAAGUGAGAAUGAGAAGGUAAUUCAGAGGGAGAAGAAGGAAACGGAACUGUACGUAGAAAUAUAUCCUCAUAUGAACUUAGAUUCUGAAAUAAAUCUAGGUUGUAAAAACACCAAAAGGCUGUUUCCAUGAGUGAGUCAACCAAGAGGCCCUCUCAGGACUUCUGUGGGACGUUGGAAUCCCCUGGCAUAUAUGAAAUCCAAAUUAGUCAGGAUAGGUAAGAUUGUGCUGCGGUAACAAAGAAAACCUUUAUUUUCAAUGGCUUCAUGCUGAAGCAGCCUCGCUGUCGGGGGUGAAUACUGGAGGUUCGCCAUCUCAUGCUAGGGGAUGAGGAUGUGGGCACACAAGAAGUGAGUUUAAAAGUGGAGGCUUAAUAGUGAGAGAGAUUUAAUAGAGAGAAAGAGAAAAGCUCUCUCUCCUGCAGAGAGAGAGGGGCUCCCGACUGGGUCUUCCGGUCCCAUGGGGAAGCGCACAGGGUUUUAUAGACUGGCUUGAAGAGGCGGUGUCUGAUUUACAUAGGGCCCAAAGAUUGGUUGGACCAGGUGUGACAUUUACAUAGCACAGGAAGAAAGUGGCCACUCCACCCUAAUCUUUUAUUAUGCAAAUGGGUUUUCUCCCUGGCCGGCACCAUGUUGUCUGCUCCUUACUGUACACAUGGUUGAUAAAGAAAAGGGAAAAGGGAGCCUCCAUGUUGAACAUUCCUGGCCCCAGGUAGCCUUUUCCUAUUGGCACAGCUGCCGGAAUUCACCCGUGCAAGCUUCCAGCUUGCUUAUCUAUGUCUGCAGCUCGAAUUUACAGGCUGCUUUUUGUUAGAAAAGAAAUGGUUUGGGGGCUGUUUUUCAUUAAAAGGGAAACCUUACCAAGGACUUCCUUAUCCUCACUAUCUGCCUAAAUAAUUUCUUCUUAACUCUUAUAUCAAUAC
rnacentral:lncRNA from 10 species